ACCAGCUUCCAGCGAUCCAUCUAAGACCAUAUAUAAUGGCAGCGAAAAUCCGUCAUUCGACUCUUCUUCUUCUACUACUUGUAGUAGCUUUCUUCCUACCCCUGGUCUGUUCCACGGAGUUCGUCCACCUGUACUUCAAUUACACCAUCGACCCCUACACCAAGAACUACGCAGACUUGAAGAGAAUACUGGUGAGGAACCAGCCUGAGCUGCGAGUGCUGACGAGCAGGGCGUUGGCGGUUCGACGCCUCAACUUCUAUGACCUGCCGGCUCGAGUGAUUUUAUGCCACCUCAACGGUGAUCUUCCCCAGGACAAGUGCGUCGUCGCCUUCGCAGACGACGAUAUCUCCGCCAUGGGCUUCAGGAACUCCACCGGGCACUGGCACUGCAUAGGAGGCUUCCGGUUCGCGGGCUGUACAGUUCUCCCCUUCGGGGAGAAUUACGGCGAGCUUCUAGGAGAGGGUGGCCACGUAAACCUCCCGUUGGUACCGCUCGGGAGGGAGGCGGCGAAAGAGGGAGUGCGCCUUCUGGCAAGCUACUCAUACUCCCCCGGCGGGGACCUUGGACCGGCUAAGCGAGGCAUGGCCAGGUUCAUCGUCAUGAUAGCCGAAGCAGCCCGUUUCCGGCCCGUCAGCAACAGGUUGGCGGAUCACUGGGAGGAAGAGACUUACAUGCUCGAGGUUGAGGCAAAUUUCUGUAUAAACUGGGGGAAAAUGUCGUUUUUACUUAUUGACUGGGAUAAAACAACCGGGCGUACAAGCUGGGGAAGGGGCCAUUACACAGCGGCUCAAGAGCUGGAGCGGGAAACAGGAAUUAAGAGCCAAGGAGAUGUUUUACGCGUCCUAGACCUGCUGGUGCUAUGAUGGAAAACACAAACAAAGCAAACGGUGAAGCUGAAGCAAUUCUUGCCAGGUCAUAGGCCACUGCUGAAGGGAUCAGGAUGGUCUCAGAGUCGUUUAAAACUGAAGGCAGCACAGAGUGCACGAAACGGCGUCACUGCAGCCCAAGUGGAUGAGUCGGCCGCCCACGUCGUAGGUGCCCCGGAUACCAGCGGAGGUGACGUUGGAAACUAUGAUGCUCUUCUUUUACUUGUUUUUUGAAGAAGUUAUAGCUUGCCGUAUGUGCAUGGUAGAUUCAGUUAUGCAAGUAGGUAGUAUCUUGAUUUCCACUGGACAUGUAGCGAUGGAGCUGAAAACAAUGCUUUGCGUAGGUUCAUGGCCCUGCCAUGUGCUUGCUUCUGUCUAUGUCCAUGAGCAACAGCAAAAUCAAUCAUUUAGUAGCAUAUCGUUCUUAGACCUUAAUACUUGUCCUAGCAACUGGAUAUACCGGAGAAUUGGGUGUCAAGCCAGAUGAUCUUAGCCUGGAGAAAUAUUUUGCUGCUAAAAGUCUUCUUUCAUCAAGGUCCUUCCGUAUAGAUAAAUAUCAUGGAUAUGCUGCAUCAGUUACGUUGUGGUGAGUGGUGGGUUAUAGUGGUUUGAAUAUUAACAUGGAUAUGUGCCCUUCACUGUAUUUGGUUAUCAGUUUUAAUCACAAGACUGAUGGUGAACAUGUCCACUUCACUAAGUCAGAAGCCUCAGACUAAGAUGAUGAUGAUCAAAGCAAUGCAGAAGAAAUCGAAAUGGGGCUGCGGAGGCGACUAUGACAACAUCAUCACGGUGCUGCGGCGGCGGCGACGACGACGAUGCCGACAUCAACACCAUCAAACACGGGCUUGUGGAGGCGCCGACGCCGACGACCUAUACGCGUGCGUAUAUUGUGUGUGUGUGUAUAUAUGUGUGUAUUAAUUAGCUAUAUCAGAUAUGUAUGUUUGUCUGUACACAUAAAAUGUACGUAUUAUUAAAUGCA